CCGUGAAACUUGGCAGUCCGA
rnacentral:misc_RNA from 1 species